rnacentral:rRNA from 1 species
GAUGAACGCUGGCGGCGUGCCUAAUACAUGCAAGUCGAGCGAACGGACGAGAAGCUUGCUUUUCUGAUGUUAGCGGCGGACGGGUGAGUAACACGUGGAUAACCUACCUAUAAGACUGGGAUAACUUCGGGAAACCGGAGCUAAUACCGGAUAAUAUUUUGAACCGCAUGGUUCAAAAGUGAAAGACGGUCUUGCUGUCACUUAUAGAUGGAUCCGCGCUGCAUUAGCUAGUUGGUAAGGUAACGGCUUACCAAGGCAACGAUGCAUAGCCGACCUGAGAGGGUGAUCGGCCACACUGGAACUGAGACACGGUCCAGACUCCUACGGGAGGCAGCAGUAGGGAAUCUUCCGCAAUGGGCGAAAGCCUGACGAAGCAACGCCGCGUGAGUGAUGAAGGUCGUCGGAUCGUAAAACUCUGUUAUUAGGGAAGAACAUAUGUGUAAGUAACUGUGCACAUCUUGACGGUACCUAAUCAGAAAGCCACGGCUAACUACGUG